GCUACGCACGGAAACUCCAGGCUGCACAGAAACAACUGGAGCAUGCCACCUCGUUCCUCGUGGAAAUUGGAAGGCUCAUGGCAUUCCAAGGAAAGAUUGCUGGAGAGCCUGGAAAUGUGGGGUGUUCAGUCAAAGUCAGGUGCGCAUGGAACGUGGUGCAUGAAGUAAAGCUCCACCUUCCAGCAUGGAAGUUCAAUUGAUUGUCCCGUCGUUUACGUGAUCGUUUUGGUUGCAGGCGCUGCAUGAAACGAAAAUGCAGUAAGGAUAGCCAAGGAAGAUGUACACAUGUAUUGUUUGUAUUUUGCUGCCGUCUUGUUCUAGGUUCUGGUAGAUGUAUUUAAUUACGUCACACUCUGGUUCAGUAGAAGAAUCAUCUGUCAACGACCUCUCGGUAGACGAUGUUGCUUGUGGAGACACCUUCCUCGUCAGCGCGUUUCGGGUUCGGUAUCAGCACAGCAAUGUUCGCUCGUGAUGUCACCCGCGAGAGUGCAACGUAUAGCUGGCCAUGGGCGAAAACAUCUUGCGGCAGAUAUAGGCCCAAAUGGUGAAGCGAUUGCCCUUGCGACUUGUUGAUGGUCAUCGCAAAGCACACUUGCACCGGAAACUGUUUACGGCGGAUCUGGAACGGGUGACCCUUAUCGUUGCUGUCACAGAAGAUCCGUGGAAGCAGGACGUCUUCGUCUCUCCGCGUGCCUGUCAGAAUUUUAGCGUGUAAACAGUUUCGCUUUAGGCCUACAAUUUGCAAACGCGUACCGUUACACAAUCCCAUGUCGGAAUUAAGAUUGCGCAAUAAAAGUACUGGUGCAAAUCGUUUCAGCCGCAAGCGAUGCACUGGGAUGCCGCUGA